rnacentral:other from 1 species
UAGAAGGUUCGAUAGGUGUAAAACUCUUCGAAUAUAAACCUGACAAGCUUAAGAAUUGGGGACUGUCCCUGAUGAUGGUGUGCAAGCCCAGCUCGUACUGGGAAGCCUAAAGUCGUUAAAUGGUCGCCCACCUUGCAGAAUGAGGUUUAUUUUUCAGAGUGUCCUAGCGAGCCUUUUUU